rnacentral:rRNA from 1 species
GAAAAUUACAAGCAUAAGCUCAAAACUCAAAGGACUUGGCGGCGCUUUAGAUCCACCUAGAGGAGCCUGUCCUAUAACCGAUAACCCCCGUUAAACCUUACCUUCUUUUGCUUCCAGUUUAUAUACCGCCGUCGUCAGCUUACCCUUUGAGGGUUCUACUAGUAAGCAAGUUCGGCUUAAGCCCCAGACGUCAGGUCGAGGUGUAGCAUAUAAGAAGAGAAGAGAUGGGCUACAUUUCCUAUUUAAAGGACCCCCGGAUAAUGUUUUGAAACAAACAUAUUGAAGCAGGAUUUAGCAGUAAGUAAAAAAUAGAGAGUUUU